GUGCUCACUUUGGCAGCACAUGUACUAAAAUUGGAACAAUACAGAGAGGGUUAGCAUGGUCUCUGCACAAGGGUGACAUAUAAAUUCAUGAAGCAUUCUAUUUUAAA